rnacentral:rRNA from 1 species
UACGUAGGGUGCGAGCGUUGCCCAGAUUUAUUGGGCGUAAAGGGCGCGUAGGCGGCUCGGCACGUCCGUUGUGAAAUCGCCCGGCUCAACUGGGCGGGGUCGGCGGAUACGGCCGAGCUGGAGCAAGCUAGGGGGUAAUGGAAUUCCCGGUGUAGUGGUGGAAUGCGUAGAUAUCGGGAGGAACACCAGUGGCGAAGGCGGUUACCUGGAGCUUUGCUGACGCUGAUGCGCGAAAGCGUGGGGAGCGAACAGG